CCUCUUGUUCGGGAUAACUGCUGGAAACGGCAGCUAAUACCGGAUAAGCUCUACCAAUUGUAUGGUGGAGGAAAGGAGGCCUCUUCAUGAAAGCUUCCGCGAGGGGAUGAGUCCGCGUCCCAUUAGCUAGUUGGUGAGGUAACGGCCCACCAAGGCAACGAUGGGUAGCCGGUCUAAGAGGAUGACCGGCCACACUGGAACUGAAACACGGUCCAGACUCCUACGGGAGGCAGCAGUGGGGAAUAUUGCGCAAUGGACGAAAGUCUGACGCAGCGACGCCGCGUGAGGGAUGAAGGUUUUCGGAUCGUAAACCUCUGUCAGGAGGGAAGAAAGCGCAUGGCGCCAAUCAGCCAUGCGUUGACGGUACCUCCAAAGGAAGCGCCGGCUAACUCCGUGCCAGCAGCCGCGGUAAUACGGAGGGCGCGAGCGUUAAUCGGAAUUACUGGGCGUAAAGCGCGCGUAGGCUGUUGUGUAAGUUGGGGGUGAAAUCCCACGGCUCAACCGUGGAACAGCCCUUGAUACUGCGCGACUUGAAUCCGGGAGAGGGUGGCGGAAUUCCAGGUGUAGGAGUGAAAUCCGUAGAUAUCUGGAGGAACAUCAGUGGCGAAGGCGGCCACCUGGACCGGUAUUGACGCUGAGGCGCGAAAGCGUGGGGAGCAAACAGGAUUAGAUACCCUGGUAGUCCACGCUGUAAACGAUGGAUGCUGGAUGUCGGGGAGUAAUCCCCGGUGUCGUAGCCAACGCGAUAAGCAUCCCGCCUGGGGAGUACGGUCGCAAGGCUGAAACUCAAAGAAAUUGACGGGGGCCCGCACA
rnacentral:rRNA from 1 species